rnacentral:rRNA from 1 species
GGAGGAUGCGAGCGUUAUCCGGAUUUAUUGGGUUUAAAGGGAGCGCAGACGGGGGAUUAAGUCAGUUGUGAAAGUUUGCGGCUCAACCGUAAAAUUGCAGAUGAUACUGGUUCCCUUGAGUGCAGUUGAGGCAGGCGGGAUUCGUGGUGUAGCGGUGAAAUGCAUAGAUAUCACGAAGAACCCCGAUUGCGAAGGCAGCCUGCUAAGCUGUAACUGACGUUGAGGCUCGANAGUGUGGGUAUCAAACAGGAUUAGAUACCCUGGUAGUCCACACGGUAAACGAUGGAUACUCGCUGUUGGCGAUAUACUGUCAGCGGCCAAGCGAAAGCAUCAAGUAUCCCACCUGGGGAGU